AUCAGAGUGGCGCAGCGGGAGCGUGGUGGGCCCAAAACCCAUAGAUCCUAGGAUCGAAACCUGGCUUUGAUA
rnacentral:tRNA from 1 species